CAUGGCUCUUGGAAAAGAUAGAUGCUUUUGUUGCUGCUUGGUUGCCUGGAACUGAAGGAGCAGGAAUCGUAGAUGUUAUAUUUGGAGACUAUGAAUUUAAGGGCAAACUGCCUGUAACAUGGUUUAAGAAGGUUGAACAGCUGCCUAUGAAUAGUGGAGAUAACUCAUAUGAUCCUUUAUUUCCCUUUGGUUUUGGGUUGACAUACAACGAGGAGAAAUCUUUAGACUGAAUUACUUGAAGAUUAAGGCUGGCCCAAGGUCCACGUUUCCUGAAUAAAUUAUGGCUGCAAAUAGAUGCUUCAUAAGUUCCUGCAUUUAGUUCUAGUAACUAGUGUUUUCUCGUCACACCCUUCAAGUGUGGAUUUAUUUUACCGUGAUCCAUGUCCAUUAGUCAUAAUCAUGUCACCAUUGUAUAGGGCCAGUAUUUGUUUCUUGUCCAAGUUGAUUCAUGGUUGGUUGAAAAGAGAUAGUCAACUUGGUAGUUAAAUAAAGAUAGUCGAGCUGGCAAUGAUCAGUUGUGUAUGUGAAUAUGUGUAUAGUGUAGAGAUGCGCAGGAUCGCCUCAUUGCACAAGGGCUUACAUCUGUCAAUAAAAAAAGGUUCAGAAGACGGCAGUAUCAGAUUCCCAACCAGUAUUAUUGAACAUGGUAUGUCCCUUUUAUUAUACCAUUUUAUCUUGUCCAAAGAUGCCUCAAAUAGUGGAGCUGGUAGUGUAGUCUAUUUGUUUUACUUGAAGGGG
rnacentral:misc_RNA from 1 species